CCUACGGGAGGCAGCAGUGGGGAAUAUUGCACAAUGGGGGAAACCCUGAUGCAGCGACGCCGCGUGAAGGAAGAAGUAUUUCGGUAUGUAAACUUCUAUCAGCAGGGAAGAAAAUGACGGUACCUGACUAAGAAGCCCCGGCUAACUACGUGCCAGCAGCCGCGGUAAUACGUAGGGGGCAAGCGUUAUCCGGAUUUACUGGGUGUAAAGGGAGCGUAGGCGGUUUAGCAAGUCAGAAGUGAAAGCCCGGGGCUCAACUCCGGGACUGCUUUUGAAACUGUUGAACUAGAGUGCAGGAGAGGUAGGUGGAAUUCCUAGUGUAGCGGUGAAAUGCGUAGAUAUUAGGAGGAACACCAGUGGCGAAGGCGGCUUACUGGACUGUAAAUGACGCUGAGGCUCGAAAGCGUGGGGAGCAAACAGGAUUAGAUACCCUUGUAGUC
rnacentral:rRNA from 1 species